rnacentral:rRNA from 1 species
GUACACGCUGUGACUAGCAUAUCAAUAAGCGGAGGAAAAGAAACUAACAAGGAUUCCCCUAGUAACGGCGAGUGAAGCGGGAAGAGCUCAAAUUUGAAAUCUUAAAGGGUUUCCCUUUACGAAUUGUAGUUUAAAGAAGUGUUUUCUGUUGAGGUUUUGGUAAAAGUUCUUUGGAAUAGGACAUCAUAGAGGGUGAGAAUCCCGUAUUUGACCUUUACUUUCAACUUUGUGAUACACUUUCAAAGAGUCGGAUUGUUUGGGAAUGCAGUCCAAAAUGGGUGGUAAAUUUCAUCUAAAGCUAAAUAUUGGCGAGAGACCGAUAGCGAACAAGUACCGUGAGGGAAAGAUGAAAAGAACUUUGAAAAGAGAGUUAAACAGUACGUGAAAUUGUCAAAAGGGAAGCGUUUGACACCAGUGUUGUUUUUCUGAAAAUCAAUUAAAGAACUGUUUAUGCUAAGCUGUUUAGACUUUAUCAGCUAUCUGUUUAGUUUUGAGCUUUUCUUUAAUGCACUUUUCAGUUAACAAGUCAACAUCAAUUUCUUUUGCUGUAAAAAAGCUUGGGGAGGGUGGCUUGAGAUUCGUCUUAAGUGUUUAUAGCCUCUUGCCUAUGCAGUCGGAGAGAUUGAGGUCUGCAGCGUAGAUCCUUCGGGGCUAAAUGCAUUUGUGCUAAGUUAUAGCAUUUUAUAGACAACUUGUUGACUAUGAUUUGUCUUGUAGCUUACUCGCUUAUGUUAUUUUACCUACGCUUAGGAUGUUGAAGAUGUAGCACAUCAU